AUGUGGAGGAGGGGCUGGGAGAGGGAAGGGAAAGGAGACCUUACAGUUUCUCCUCUCCUAUCCUGUUUCGCUCCAAGCUUUGGAGGCGCACGCGCAAGCGCGUGCGAACGAGCACGAGACCUCCCGAGAACGUGGAAGCGAGGCGCGGAGUGGGAAGGAGGAGGAAAGGGGGAGCCCAAAAUGGGAGAAGAUAGGGGCGGGGGUUGCCGUUGCCAUGGUAGUUACGUCAGGCAGCGUCGGGGAGCGAACCCGAGACACACACACACACAUACACACACAUACACACACGGAUACGCACACGCACACACGAGAGGAAAAGGUCAAAGUAAAGGCGAGGAGAAGACAGAAGGAAGCAGUCGCCGUUGCUGCCGGCGCGCGCGCCAUGACGGACGCUACCUUAUCCACUUCCUUCUCCCGGACACCGCCGACCCCCCCCACUCCCGAGUUCCACCCCCCCCUCGGAAGCGCUCCCCCGACUCGGCGCGAGCGUGUCCACGCCCCCCUCCUUCACCACUCCCCCCUCCCGCGGGAGCGUUACUUCGGGGACGCGCGCGCGAGUGCGCGCAGGAAGAGGGGCGGGGGAGUGAAAAGGGGUUCCUGGGAGGGGGUCCGGGCAGCAGCUGGGACUACUGUUUCCCUGUACUCGAGACUCAUUACAACCCCCUACCCCGAAGAGACCAGAGGGGUCUGACCAGGAUUCAUCAGCAUAGAGAAAAAGUUGACUGCUAUUUCUCCCAGCUGGAACUUCUGACCACUAAGAAGCACAGGGUGAACUUUCUGUGUAACUUCACGGAAGGAGGAUUCUUCCUGAAUAGUGCCUGGAGAAAAGGCUUUGUGGACCCUCUCCAGAAUAAGCUCUUCUUUCUAUGGCAGGGCUACCUGUAUGGAAAGUGGAAGUUGAAAGAAGAGUAG
rnacentral:lncRNA from 1 species